GAGAGGAGAGGAGAGGAGAGGAGAGGAGAGGAGAGGAGAGGAGAGGAGAGGAGCUGAGCUGUAGUUAGGUCACAUAUGGACAGGAUCCAAGUGGAGAAAUCGGUGGACAGGGCACAAAUGGGGGAAUGACAGCCUAUUCAGUGAGGAUAGGAAAUGCACAUAAAGGACAGAUGGAGAUGAUUUAUCUGUGUGUGACUAGAAGGAUGGCGAUUACAAAGAAAAGAGUGAAAGGACAGGGAGGAAAGGGGAAAAGGGAAUAAGUAAGAAGAUGAAAUAAGCAAGGAAUGUCCAAGUACUGAUAUGAAUGCUCAGAAAAUCACCAGGCUAUUAGGCUGAGCCAGAAGAAGAGCCACAGCCGUACCCAAGAGGGGACCAUCGGAAAGACAGAAGCAGGCAAUUUAAGUAGCUAGCUACUGGGGUAAAAUGAAAAAAAUAGAAGAUGGAAAAGGUGAGAAGCAAAAGAGGGAAAACCCAAAGGAGACACUGGCCCAGAAACCUUUUUAACUUUCUGUAAGAAUCUUCAAGUCCCCAAACUAGGCCAAGAUUCUGACUGACAUUUCUGAGCUCACCAGCUGCCGUUUCCUUGAGAGAAUUCUGACAGGAAGGCAUAGAAAUGUGAGCCAACACUGCCAGCUCUGGAAAAUAAAUAAAUAAGUAAAUAACUGCCCACAUCCUAAACACCUCAGUGGGGGCCGAAGCCUGCUGGGAAGGAAGCCCAGAGAGGAGGAGGGACCCGCCUGCAACUUUUCCCCAGCAUCACCCUGUCCCAAACGGACUCUGCAAGGCUAUCUGAGGAAAAGCCUUGAGAUGCUAAAGUAGUGAUUCACUCAGCUAACGGGCUAGUUCCUUUCUCUGCUCUUCCCUAAACCUCUGUGUUCCCAGCUCUGACUCCAAAGGGCUUGAACCCACGCCAAGAAAGUGCUGAACCUACAGAGGGAAGCCCUGAGCAGGAGGGGAGGCUGCAGUCACCCAAGACUCAUGCCAUCACCCCACAAAGACUUUCAGAACAAGGGAGGAAGAUAAAGGGGCCUCCUUCCCUCACUUAAACCCCAGUUCCAGGAUGGCUCCUGCAUCCCACAGCUCUACCUCCUUGUUUUUAGGGUGAGCGCGUGUGAGAGAUUACGUCUGGUACCACACUAAGUUUACACCAUGAGUUCUUAAGCAAAACCACAAAAGGAAACCUGAGAGGAUUUGACCGAAGCGUGCAGAGAUGCACAAGACAGGGCUGUCAAAUGAAACUGAGCAGCAGCAGAACAAGGACACAGGAGAGGAGGAGAGGGAAGGAAGAAGGGAAGAUGCACCAUGUUUGCGUAGAGAUGGCAGAGGAGCGCAGAGCAGCUGGCGAUGAGAGGCCCCCUGCCCUCAGAGGUGACAGCACCCAGAACACUGGGCCAAGGCUCCCUCUGCACCAACUGGGCUCAGCAACAACCAUGACACAAGCCUCCCACCUCUUCCAGAAAGCAGAGAAUUGUCUAAUGGUCUUUAAGGGCAUAAAAUCUAUACUUUGAGAGGGGUGGUGGAAGGGACUUGGAAGGACAUGGUAAAUUACCAGAGAUGGGUCUGCUAUAAAACUAAGCACCGAGACUUCUCACUUUAGAUGAGUGGUCCUUCAAUUGGAGACAAUGUCAUUACCCAGGGGCAUUUGGCAAUGUCUAGAGACAGUCUCAAUUGUCACAACUCAGGGGUUCCUGGCAUCUAGGAGGUGGGAACUAGGGACGCUGCUGAACAUCCUGCAAUGCAGAGAACAAACCCCACCCACCAAAACAAAGCAAAGAAAUAUCCAGCCCAAAAUGUCAAUACGUUAAGGUCGAGAAACCUGGCCUUUUUGAUAGUGGUGCUUUGAAUAAAUGAAGUCUCUGACAUUGA